rnacentral:tRNA from 1 species
GCCCUUGUAGCUCAGUCGGCAGAGCGCAUUCUUGGUAAGGAUGAGGUCGGCGGUUCAAAUCCGCUCGGGGGCUCCA